AUAUCCUUUCGUGCCUAAUUCUAUUCUUUUUUUAAUUUCUUAGGGUAAACGCAUCUACUUUCCAAAAACACUCUUGUGUAAUUGUCCUUAAACACUCUCUGCCUGACGUACAAAGACUGCAAAAAACGUACCCAUCCAAUUCUCUCCCCAAAAGAAUAAUCAAAAUUGUUUCUGUUACAAAACCAAAGCUAAUCUAUAACACCCAGUAAUUGAUUUUUUUUUCCUUCAUUUGUAACACAACAAAUAUUUUUUUCAAGAAAAGGCAUCGGUCUUGUUUCAGCUGUAGUUGUUGAAAGGGUGCAGGGUUUUCGGGUUCAGGUUGCUGAAUUUUGGUGGAGCAAUUCCUGUUUACUCUACCCUGUGCAAAGAAGGAAGAGGGAUCGUGGUCGCAUCUGUAGAAAGUAGCUGGGGAGAUAUCACACAGGGAACAGUUUUGCCCAGGUAUUU